CCUACGGGAGGCAGCAGUGGGGAAUAUUGCGCAAUGGGCGAAAGCCUGAUGCAGCUAUGCCGCGUGAGGGAUGACGGCCUUCGGAUCGUAAACCUCUUUCAGCGGGGAAGAACGGGCACUGUGCUAAUAAUCAGUCAAUUGACGGUACCUGCAAAGGAAGCACCGGCUAACUCCGUGCCAGCAGCCGCGGUAAUACGGAGGGUGCGAGCGUUAAUCGGAAUUACUGGGCGUAAAGCGCUCGUAGGCGGUAUGUCAAGUCAAGGGUGAAAUCCCCGGGCUCAACGUGGGAACUGCCUUUGUGACUGGCAGGCUGGAGUGUGUGAGAGGGGAGUGGAAUUCCAGGUGUAGGAGUGAAAUGCGUAGAUAUGUGGAGGAACACCAGUGGCGAAGGCGGCCAUCUGGAACAUAACUGACGCUGAGGAGCGAAAGCGUGGGGAGCAAACAGGAUUAGAUACCCUUGUAGUC
rnacentral:rRNA from 1 species